rnacentral:rRNA from 1 species
CAGCAGCCGCGGUAAUACGUAGGUGGCAAGCGUUGUCCGGAAUUAUUGGGCGUAAAGGGCUCGCAGGCGGUUUCUUAAGUCUGAUGUAAAAGCCCCCGGCUCAACCGGGGAGGGUCAUUGGAAACUGGGAAACUUGAGUGCAGAAGAGGAGAGUGGAAUUCCACGUGUAGCGGUGAAAUGCGUAGAGAUGUGGAGGAACACCAGUGGCGAAGGCGACUCUCUGGUCUGUAACUGACGCUGAGGAGCGAAAGCGUGGGGAGCGAACAGGAUUAGAUACCCCUGUAGUCCCUGUCUCUUAUAC